rnacentral:rRNA from 1 species
AUUGAACGCUGGCGGCAGGCCUAACACAUGCAAGUCGAACGGUAACAGGAAGCAGCUUGCUGCUUCGCUGACGAGUGGCGGACGGGUGAGUAAUGUCUGGGGAUCUGCCCGAUGGAGGGGGAUAACCACUGGAAACGGUGGCUAAUACCGCAUAACGUCGCAAGACCAAAGUGGGGGACCUUCGGGCCUCACACCAUCGGAUGAACCCAGAUGGGAUUAGCUAGUAGGUGGGGUAACGGCUCACCUAGGCGACGAUCCCUAGCUGGUCUGAGAGGAUGACCAGCCACACUGGAACUGAGACACGGUCCAGACUCCUACGGGAGGCAGCAGUGGGGAAUAUUGCACAAUGGGCGCAAGCCUGAUGCAGCCAUGCCGCGUGUAUGAAGAAGGCCUUCGGGUUGUAAAGUACUUUCAGCGGGGAGGAAGGGAUGRCGUUUAAUACGCGYCGUCAUUGACGUUACCCGCAGAAGAAGCACCGGCUAACUCC